GUAACAAGGUUUCCGUAGGUGAACCUGCGGAAGGAUCAUUAGUGAAUUAUAGGGCGUCUACUUGUAGAGCCUGACCUCCACUUCUAACACUGUGCACUUGAUGGCGAGGUAAUGGAACUUUCGAGUGAAACUACCUUGCGGCUUCAUUUUAAACAUUAGUCAAAGUAUGUAAUGAAAUAAAAAACAAAAAAAAACUUUCAACAACGGAUCUCUUGGCUCUCGCAUCGAUGAAGAACGCAGCGAAAUGUGAUAAGUAAUGUGAAUUGCAGAAUUCAGUGAAUCAUCGAAUCUUUGAACGCACCUUGCGCUCCCUGGUAUUCCGGGGAGCAUGCCUGUUUGAGUGUCAUGAACUCUUCAACCCACCAGUUUCUAGUAGACUGCGUUGGUGUUUGGAUUUUGAGCGUUGCUAGUCUGACUAGCUCGUUCGUAAUAUAUUAGCAUCUCUAAUUCGAAUUCGGAUUGACUCAGUGUAAUAGACUAUUCGCUGAGGACACUUUUAUUAGUGGCCGUACUAGAACCAGUAGAAGCUUCCAACUAUUGUAGUCAACUUUAAUUUAGACCUCAGAUCAGGCAGGAUUACCCGCUGAACUUAAGCAU
rnacentral:misc_RNA from 1 species